rnacentral:rRNA from 1 species
GAUGAACGCUGGCGGCGUGCCUAAUACAUGCAAGUCGAGCGAACGGACGAGAAGCUUGCUUCUCUGAUGUUAGCGGCGGACGGGUGAGUAACACGUGGAUAACCUACCUAUAAGACUGGGAUAACUUCGGGAAACCGGAGCUACUACCGGAUGAUAUUUUGAACCGCAUGGUUCAAAAGUGAAAGACGGUCUUGCUGUCACUUAUAGAUGGAUCCGCGCUGCAUUAUCUAGUUGGUAAGGUAACGGCUUACCAAGGCAACGAUGCAUAGCCGACCUGAGAGGGUGAGCGGCCACACUGGAACUGAGACACGGUCCAGACACCUACGGGAGGCAGCGGUAGGGAAUCUUCCGCAAUGGGCGAAAGCCUGACGGAGAAACGCCGCGUGAGUGAUGAAGGUCUUCUGAUCGUAAAACUCUGUUAUUAGGGAAGAACAUAUGUGUAAGUAACUGUGCACAUCUUGACGGUACCUAAUCAGAAAGCCACGGCUAACUACGUG